GAUGAACGCUGGCGGCGUGCCUAAUACAUGCAAGUCGAGCGAACAGACGAGGAGCUUGCUCCUCUGACGUUAGCGGCGGACGGGUGAGUAACACGUGGAUAACCUACCUAUACGACUGGGAUAACUUCGGGAAACCGGAGCUAAUACCGGAUAAUAUAUUGAACCGCAUGGUUCAAUAGUGAAAGACGGUUUUGCUGUCACUUAUAGAUGGAUCCGCGCCGCAUUAGCUAGUUGGUAAGGUAACGGCUUACCAAGGCAACGAUGCGUAGCCGACCUGAGAGGGUGAUCGGCGACACUGGAACUGAGACAAGGUCCAGACUCCUACGGGAGGCAGCAGUAGGGAAUCUUCCGCAAUGGGCGAAAGCCGGACGGAGCAACGCCGCGUGAGUGAUGAAGGUCUUCGGAUCGUAAAACUCUGUUAUUAGGGAAGAACAAAUGUGUAAGUAACUAUGCACGUCUUGACGGUACCUAAUCAGAAAGCCACGGCUAACUACGUG
rnacentral:rRNA from 1 species